GAAACGACUGCUAAUACCCUAUACUCCUUCUUACUAUAAGGUAAGUUGGGAAAGAUUUAUCGCUAAAGGAUGGGGCUUUAUUGUAUCAGCUAGUUGGUGGGGUAAUGGCCUACCAAGGCUAUGACGCAUACCUGGUCUGAGAGGAUGAUCAGGCACACUGGAACUGAGACACGGUCCAGACUCCUACGGGAGGCAGCAGUGGGGAAUAUUGCACAAUGGAGGAAACUCUGAUGCAGCAACGCCGCGUGGAGGAUGACGCAUUUCGGUGUGUAAACUCCUUUUAUAGGGGAAGAUAAUGACGGUACCCUAUGAAUAAGCACCGGCUAACUCCGUGCCAGCAGCCGCGGUAAUACGGAGGGUGCAAGCGUUACUCGGAAUCACUGGGCGUAAAGGAUGCGUAGGCUGGAAAUCAAGUCGAGAGUGAAAUCCAACGGCUCAACCGUUGAACUGCUCUCGAAACUGGUUACCUAGAAUAUGGGAGAGGUAGAUGGAAUUAGUGGUGUAGGGGUAAAAUCCGUAGAUAUCACUAGGAAUACCGAUUGCGAAGGCGAUCUACUGGAACAUUAUU
rnacentral:rRNA from 1 species